GAUGAGUAGGAGCAGAGCUGGCUCGUGCUGCAGUUGCUUAGCCACCUGUCUUUGAAAGUAUGCACACGAGCCAGCCUCUAAGUCACCCCUGCUGACAACGGGUGCCAUGGAUUACUAAGACUCAGAGAAGCAGGUUGUUCUCUGCAUGUAAUGCUCAGCAUCUUCUUGCAGAGGAAGGAGCGUCGCGUCGUGAGCCCACCCGAGGGUCUCCAAGCCACUGCUAGGAGCAGUGUGCACUCCGACCCUGAUCGUGGGCCGGUGUCCUGGCUUAUCUCCCUUAAGAAUUCAUCUGUCCUCCAGAAACUACAAGUCAUGGGUGUUCUCAUUCCUUCCAUUUCUAUAAUUUGCAGGACCUUCCAGGCCGAGAGAAAAUAAAGCCAAUUCUAGAUAAUGCUGGAAUGAUUAUAUUGCUUCAAAAAUCACCAUAGGUUUAAGAAAGUUUUGUAUUUUGUUUUAUUUUUUAUUAUUUUUUUAGAUUAAAAUGAUCAUGGUUUUCUAAACUGAUUAGCAUAGUUUUUAAGCCACUCUGAAGUGUUUGUUAGGCUUCGCAUGCUGGUCUCCAUAUGCCUCUUUUCAAUUACAUGUGCUGCCGCAAGGAUGGCUGAACGAAUGCUUCUUUAAAAACAGAAAGCAAACUGUUAGGCUUUGUACAGUGUAACUAGUUAGCGUGCGACGUCUCAAACUGCCCUGAUUUCAUCACCAAACUGCUAGCUGUUCUGUUUGCAGAAAUAGCCACUAAAAAGUGCCUGAAAAUGAGAUGCUCCACGCGAGUUAAAGGACACGGAAGGGAACCGAGAAAGACUUAAAAUAACGCGAGAUCGGGCCAUGUUUGGAGCUGCUGCCAAGGGCUCUCACUUUUGAAGGGAGCAAACAUAAUACCCCGUGACUCUAAUGUUUAGCGAAUAUUAUUUAUGUUUGGCUGAUUCAGAAAAUUUCAAGUUAUUUGAAAAUAUACCUAAUUGCUCAUUACAGCGAUUUGUAAAGCAAGUACUGCCGUUUCACAUCUUAGAACCCUCCAGCAGAAAGACACAGUGUUUUAUUUUCGUGAGGGCAAGGAGAGAGGUGGUGUUUAAAACAAGGCAGUGUGGUUCCAGGACUGCGUUCUGUAUUGCGGUUGCUUGGAGAAAGGGGUCAAGAUGAUAUUAGGAGGCUCUUGGUUCAUCUGUGCUUAACUUGCUGAACAUGAGGUUGUAUUGCCAGCCUGUAAAUUCUCUCCAACCCCACCUAUGUGAAUGCCUAUCGUGGAGCCAAUUCUAAGGAAAUGAUUACGGAAUGAAUGAAUGGAUGAAAUCUUAUUUUCUUGGAAGUACCAGAAGUAAACUAACUAGCAUCCAAGACAUCAGUUGGACAAAAUAAAAACAGUGUGUGAAGCA